rnacentral:lncRNA from 1 species
GUUGUUUUGUUUUUGUUUUUUAAAGAAACCAACACAAAGAGAGUCACUGCCUGGCGUGAUCCCACUCUGCUUCACAUCAUGAAGUGGCUCAGCACAGCAAGAGUGGGGGGAAGCCACAGCUGCAGCAGGGAGGCUGCCUGGUGGCAAGGAGCUGCUGGGCUGGAGGUCUCUGAUGACAGACGAGUGGAGCCCCGCAGGAGCCUCUCCUCUCCAGCCACCUUGGUAGGCUGGAGGUGCUCGAAGAUGUUCUCGCUGAGGGUUGCUGCAGCUCUGUUGGCGUUUCGCUCCUGCUUGUACAUCUGCGUGGUGGGGGGGAUGGAUGGGGCUGUGGCUGCGUUCAGGUAGGUCCCGUUGCCAAAGGCCUGGAUGGCAUUUUGGAGACAGACGUUGUCAGUGAAGAGGUGCAGGAAGCUCUCGCACUCUUCCUGCCGGUUGCCACUUGCGUUGCACGUGCACCAGGGUGCUAUGCUGGAGGUCGAGUUGUCAAUGUAGUUGGGAGUGAUGGGGCUGCCUAUGAUCCCGGUGUAAGCCAGCAGGCAGGCAGCAUAGCUGUCCCUCCGGCAGCCACUCGCAGUCUGCA